CACAAGCUGAAUACACUGACAUCAGACACAGACCUUCAAAGUAAAACAGGAAAUACACAGACUGGACUCAGAGACACGAUUCCCUGCUCCCGUCCUUGAUUCUCCUCCCUGAUUUCCCCAGCAUCAGAAGUCGUGUACGGCAGCGCAAACAGUGUUACCAACUCCUCAGAGAGAGAAAGAACAUCGUGGACGACACAUACAGUUUUUAGAGUCACUGAAACACAGCAGAGCAGAUUCUUCUGGAUGUCAUGAUCAAAACAAAGCAGCUGUUUUAUCUAAUAUAUUGUUUGCUUUGGUGAACACUGACCUGUGGUGUGGAUAUGGGCCUGCUGUGUUUGUCUCCUUCUCCUGAGCAUCAGGAAGACCACCAACAAGACCAGCAGGAGCAACAGGACAAUAGAAACUACAGAUGAG